rnacentral:lncRNA from 1 species
UUUAUGGUUACAAUGUUUAUUUAGGCCAGGAAAGGGAUGAAACAAGCCAGGCAGGGUCAUAGGUGGUUAUCUGGGCUUGGAUGUUCUUUGUCUUUGCAGAAGCAUUCCAGGCCAAAGUCAGGACUGCAAAGCG